GGAUGCAAAUUCUAGUCCUGGGCUGGGAACACAUAGAAAUUUCUGCUAUGCCACUUACAUUCUCCGUAGGAGACAAGAGUUUACAGAAUAAAAUAAAAACUUCUAAUACAUUAGAAAAUAGUAAGUCUCCAGAACUGUUAAACUGGAUAGGAAAAUGGGGGGUGGGGGAUGCAGCAGGGAGCAGGGGGCAAAUGCAGGCUCCCUUGAAGAUGCCACUUGAGUGAAGGAGGGAGCCAUGGGAAUGUUGGGAAGGGAAUCAUACUCAGACAAACAGCAUGUACAAAGGUCCUGAGCUUGCGCCUGGCAGGUUAACCUGAGAAAGAGAGGUCAUGGAACAAAGGGACCCAAAAGAGACUGAGGAAGGCUGAGAGAAUGGGGUUAUAUAUACUUCCUGUGAGUGAGCUGGGAGCCCUGGGAAGGUUCUGAAGCAAGGAUGCCUAAUGUGACUCAGGUUUAGGCAGAAUGUCCUAGGUUGGCCAUGGCUUCUAGACAGCUGGGGCAUCUUCCCUGUGGACUGAGGCCGCUCAGCUACACUGUUGCUUUCAAGCUUCUGAUCUUUGACUGCACUUCUCCCUGGGGGUGGGAGACAUUGGACAGACAGAGUGUGAGGAAUGCAGAGCCCAGGGUAGGCAGGGCUAUGGAGAAGUGUGCUGGCCCAGCCUGACCCUGCCCUCCCUUGACAAGAUAGGAUCAAUCAACUUUAUGGACUAGCCAACCCCACCUGCUCUGCGUGCUAGCCCUGGCUAGCUAUUCACUGGCUGUAGAAUACUGGGGAAGACUCAGACUGGGCCUAUGAUCAAUCAGAACGUUGAUGACCAUCUUGUGCUAAGCACAGACUCCUUCCGUGCUCUGGCUAAGACUCAGUUUAACUGCUGGAUCAUGGGCACUCACCUGGAGAAUCCUCAGAUCCUUAUUUAAGGGAUCUGGCUAAAAAUCCUGGCCCCAACAGGGACGGCUUGGAGAAGCAAGGGGAAAGGCUGGCCACCUCGCAGUGUCAGGUAGGAAGCGCCAGGAAGGAAGGUCUGUCCAAAUGUCCUGGGUAUUAAGAAGCAGGGGAAAGACAAGACAGACCUGGCUGUGCCUGGCCCUCUAUCUGCUUGGCUAAGAAGGCCCACGCUCGCUCUCAGCGGGUUUUUUCACGCCGCCCGGGUUUGAAGCCAGGCAGUGUAGGCUAAAGUGCACAGCAGGGUACCCAGCACUCUCUGCUCACGUGUUUUCUUGGGCUUCACUUUCCUCAUUAAACCGGUGCAAAAGCUGUCUAUGAUGGCUUGGGACUGCAAUCUGGAACUCCCUCUGCAGAUCAGAAGCACCCUGCAGUCUUUGGGGAGGUGCCGCCACUGGUGGUGGUCAGCAAACCUCCGCAGUUUGUCAGUCGCAGAAGUCUAGGGUAGCGCAGUGAGCGUCCAUUCCCGUGAGUAACCAUGACCGCUGGAGGAAAGACCAGAUGUAUUUUUACAAUUGGUCCCUUUAGACACGGUCCCUACUAGAUCGGGCCUUGUUAGGAAUGCGGAGGGGGUUGCAGGGACGAUUCCGCUCCCGAGGUCCCACGUGGUCUGCACUUCGGGACUCUGCGGGCUUUCAGUGGAUUCUAGAACCCGUCUCACGUGCGCAUCGGAGGACCCAGUGCAGAUCCACGAAGAGACCGGAGAGCGCGUGGGCAGCGGGAGGGUGCGGCCGAGGCGGGGCGGGGGCGCGUGACGCGCGGCGCUAGCCAAUGGGGCGCGCGCCCGAGGCCGAGCCUCCUGCGAGCCUUCGCGGCGCCCGCGGCGUCACGUGAGCGGCCGGAGAGCGGGGAGAGCGGCGAGCGGCGAGCGCCCAGCUCGGCCGCAGGGAGUGCGGGCUGCGGCCAGGAGCGCUGGACGCGCGGCCGCAUACGGAGCCGGGCCGCACGCGCGAGGCCGCGCCAGGCGACGCGGAGUCCAGUCACCACAGGCUCGGCCAGGCCAGCAUGGUGGACCACCUGCUUCCAGUGGACGAGACCUUCUCGUCACCGAAAUGCUCAGUGGGUUACCUAGGGGACAGGCUGGCCAGCCGGCAGCCAUACCACAUGUUGCCCUCGCCCAUCUCGGAGGAUGACAGCGAUGUCUCCAGCCCCUGCUCUUGUGCCAGCCCUGACUCGCAAGCCUUCUGUUCCUGCUACAGUGCGGGUCCAGGCCCUGAGGCCCAGGGCAGCAUCUUGGAUUUCCUCCUGUCCCGGGCCACACUGGGCAGUGGUGGUGGCAGUGGAGGUAUUGGAGAUAGCAGUGGCCCUGUGACCUGGGGAUCAUGGAGGAGAGCCUCUGUGCCUGUGAAGGAGGAACAUUUCUGCUUCCCUGAAUUUCUGUCAGGGGACACUGAUGACGUCUCCAGGCCCUUCCAGCCUACCCUGGAGGAGAUUGAAGAAUUCCUGGAAGAGAACAUGGAGGCUGAGGUCAAGGAGGCCCCAGAGAACGGUAGCAGGGACCUGGAGACCUGUAGCCAGCUCUCAGCUGGGUCACACCGGAGCCACCUUCAUCCAGAGUCUGCUGGGAGAGAGCGCUGUACCCCACCACCAGGUGGCACGAGUGGGGGUGGUGCCCAAAGUGCAGGUGAGGGGCCAGCACAUGAUGGCCCCGUGCCGGUGCUACUGCAGAUCCAGCCUGUUGCUGUGAAGCAGGAGGCAGGUACAGGGCCAGCCUCCCCAGGGCAGGCCCCAGAGAGCGUCAAGGUCGCCCAGCUUCUAGUCAACAUCCAGGGGCAGACCUUUGCACUCCUGCCUCAAGUGGUACCAUCCUCCAACUUGAACCUGCCCUCAAAGUUUGUGCGAAUUGCGCCUGUGCCCAUUGCCGCCAAACCUAUUGGCUCAGGAUCCCUAGGGCCCGGCCCUGCUGGCCUCCUUGUGGGCCAGAAGUUUCCCAAGAACCCAGCAGCAGAACUUCUCAAAAUGCACAAAUGCACUUUCCCAGGCUGCAGCAAGAUGUACACCAAGAGCAGCCACCUCAAGGCCCACCUGCGUCGGCACACAGGCGAGAAGCCCUUUGCCUGCACCUGGCCAGGCUGCGGCUGGAGGUGCUGAGAAGGCAGAAGGAGACAUAGUCCCGUGGCCCUGCAAUUAUUUGUGAUAGGAGAAGAAUCUGGAAGAUUAUGAAACAGGCUGCCGUAUGUGGUGGACUGCCAGCCAGGCAAAUUGCCAGUUGCCCUCAUAGCCGCCGGCUACUUUGAACUCUCCUGGACGCCUUGAGGAACUGAACUGUGAUCAGCUGCUGGCUUCAGAAGCACGAUGCUGGUUCCGGAGCCAUAUCCCACCCACACAGUGGUUUCAAACAGCUUGCCCACCACAAGCCUCUCUGAACUCUAGAUGACCCUGUAACCAUUUUCACUCACACCAGAGAGGAGCCUUCUCUUGUUGGACUGAGAAUGAAGGACUGUGUGGGGCUAGUGUCAACGCAGCUCAUUUGCAUGAAGCGUUGCUUCUGAUUGGUGCUGGCAGCCUUGCCACGCCCCCUUUCUGGAUAUUUCUGGAAGUCUGACUUACAGCUCCUUUCUUGAGUCAGCGAGCUGCAGUGAUGCCCUUGUUACUGAGGCAAGCGAGAUGCUAGUCCAGACCUGCAAGAGAGACUAAAGCAGAAGUGGAGAGCCGAGGAGCUCUGAAGCCUCAAGAAGCCGGGCCCCAGCCUGAAAGCUCUUGACAGGAACAGGAUUACCACGGCUUCCCAUGGCAGGGCUGAGGCACAUUAAAGCCCAGGGCAACAGAGCCUUCAACUUGGGCACCUGGAGCCCCGAGUCUUUGGCUUCUAUACCUCCCCAACUUGCUUUGUAACUCAAACUGGCUUCAAACUUGCCACCCCCACCUGCCUCCGUCUCCCAGGGAGCUCUCACCUUCCCAGGAAUCUUAUCUGUGAGGCACUGACUGAGUUUGGCUCCCACUGCCUGGCACACGCGAUUUAGGGGCAUCCCUGAAGAGUGUGGGGCUAAAGGUACAACUUCUAUAGCAGUGGGUUGUGAGGAGGGACAACUGGAACCAGAGAAGCCAGGAGCUUCCACACAAGCUGGAGGGAUGGGGAUGGGAACUCACAGGCAAAGGAAUCCUGAACAGAAGCAGAGUCUAAUGUACAACCAUGAGCUGCUCCAAAAAGAGCCAAGACCAUGCUGGGGCCACAGGGAGGAGGAUCAAAUGAGCUUUCUGUAUAUUGCAUUGGUUAAUGGAGUCAAAGGCACAGGCAGGGAGAUCUGUUGUGAACUUCACGGGUGUGAAAGGGGAGUUGGACUCAGGACCCAGGUGUUAGCAGGUAGGUCCUGUUUGAAUUGAGGCUACGCAGGGUGGAGCUUCUUGUGUGGAACCCUUCCUAAAGCCGCGGGUGCGCAACGUCCAGCAUGUGCCUCAACUUUACCCUUUCACUAAGGAAGAGAUGAGGGGCUGAAGCAAUUAACAGCAUUUGUUGCUCUUUCUCAGGACCAGUGUUCAGUUCCCAGCAACCACACGAUAGCUCACAACCACCUGCAACUCCAGCCCCACAGGAUCAAACACCCUCCAGCCUAUGCCUAUACACACACACACAGACACACACACACGUACACACACACACACGCACGUACACACAUACACACAUACACACAAGUACACAUAGACUAAAAAUAGCAUCUAAAAAGAGAUAGGGAUGGUCCUGCUCCGGGAAGACCCAAAGAAACCCAGAGCACAGUCAGAGUGCCAGCACAGGUUGAAGGAGAGGUGUGAGGAGAAGGGGAGGUUGUGAGAAGUGCAAUGGCUAUAGGAGGCAGGAGAGGAGAGAGAGCAUGUCCUGUGAGUGCAUUGGGAGGGAUAGGAGGGAGGCUAUUUGGCCCUUCCCCAGCACAGGUGGAGGAAGGAAGUAUGGAUAGCUGGGACAGAGUGGAGAUCAGUGCCAAUGACUCAAAAUGCAGGCCCAAAACAAAGUUUGUUAGCUCCCCACGGUGUGAUCACUACUGAAGCCAUGUCACUUUGACAGAAGAAGGAGGACCACCCGGGGCACCCCACAGCAAGGCGUGGUUGGAAUAGCCUUCAUCAGGGCUCCCAUUGGCCACUCUUGCCAAUGGUUAACAGAGUAGCUCUGACUCACUGGGGAUGAUGGUGUUCCUCCCAGCCUAACAGAUCCCUAAGCUGGGCCCUUUUCCCUUUUUCUUUCCCCUCCUGGCCAUCCUGACUCAAUGGGAAGUCUGGGUGCGUGGCUGAAGAUCCCAACACUACAUUGCGAGCUGAGGAUGUCCCAUGCAGUUGCCAAAGUAGAGUGGGCUGGGUCUCUUUCCCAGACCCUAUGUUAGAAAUGUGCUUUAUUCGUUUAUUUUUGCUUUUACUUAUUAUAUGUAUAUGGGGCCGGGUAACACA